AUGAAUUGUCUAAGUUGGAACUGCCGGGGAGGGGGGAAUUUUCGGACAGUUCACGAGUUAGCGACAGUGUGUCAGUCGCAUUCCCCCAUGUUGGUGUUUUUGUGUGAAACUAGGCAGAAAGAGGAGAAGAUGAGAAGAGUGCGUAACCGUCUUGGUCUAAAAGGGUUUUGUGGUGUGGAUAGUAAUGGAAUGAGUGGGUGUUUAGCCCUCUAUUGGCAUGAAAACUGUGUGGUAGAAAUUAUAGGCAAAGUUGAGCGCCAUAUCGAUACGUUGAUCCGAAUGCAUGAAGAUGCAGAGCAAUGGAGAGCUACCUUUGUAUACGGUAAACCGCGCGUUGAGAAUAGACAUCUGAUGUGGACAAAGUUACAACACUUAAAAAAUGUUAAUGACUUGUCAUGGCUGGUUAUUGGAGAUUUCAAUGAGGCUCUGUGGGACUUUGAACAUUGUCGGAUUUCGGGUUCCGGCAAACCCUUGAGGUUCGAACACUGGGGUGCGCACGAAGAUCUCUCUCUCCCUAGCUCGCUCUCGCAACGAUCGCAAGGCCUAGCUCGACGAAACCAAAGAACGAGAUACGCAAGAGUUUAUACUGGUUCAGGCCAUCGAUGUGGUGUAAUACCCUACUCCAGUGUGGUAAUGAACGAGUACAAUGGGAAGAACAGCCUCCUGAGGAGAGGUGUUCUUGUGCUUGGUGGGUUUGUGUGGUUGAGCCUGAUCUGA
rnacentral:rRNA from 1 species